UCUAAUAUGGCAGAUUAGUGCAUUGAACUUAAACCUCAAUUAUAAAGUUAUCCUUUUUUUAGAA
rnacentral:tRNA from 1 species